rnacentral:rRNA from 1 species
GACGAACGCUGGCGGCGUGCCUAACACAUGCAAGUCGAGCGAUGAAAUUAGAAACGGAGUCUUCGGACGAAGUGGAAAAUGGAUUAGCGGCGGACGGGUGAGUAACACGUGAGCAACCUGCCUAUCACAUUGGGAUAGCCUCGGGAAACUGGGAUUAAUACCGAAUGAAACAUAAUCACUGCCUAGUGGAAAUGUCAAAGAUUUAUCGGUGAUAGAUGGGCUCGCGUCUGAUUAGCUAGUUGGUGAGGUAAUGGCUCACCAAGGCGACGAUCAGUAGCCGGCCUGAGAGGGUGAACGGCCACAUUGGGACUGAGACACGGCCCAAACUCCUACGGGAGGCAGCAGUGGGGAAUAUUGCACAAUGGAGGAAACUCUGAUGCAGCGACGCCGCGUGAGCGAUGAAGGCUUUCGAGUCGUAAAGCUCUGUCGAAUGGGAAGAUAAUGACGGUACCAUUUGAGAAAGCCCCGGCUAACUACGUGCCAG